rnacentral:lncRNA from 1 species
UUUUCUUUCCUGCCCGGCUGUCGUGCUUCUUCAUCUUCUGUCCAACGGCUCAUACCGCUUCAAUGCAAUCUGUUAUGUUUUACAAAAUACAU